rnacentral:SRP_RNA from 14 species
AGGAUCGGAAGGCAGCAGGCGCGAGCAU